CCUACGGGCGGCAGCAGUGGGGAAUAUUGCACAAUGGGGGAACCCUGAUGCAGCGACGCCGCGUGGGUGAAGGAGCGUUUCGGCGCGUAUAGCCCUAUCAGCAGGGGAGACGAUGACGGUACCUGAUUAAGAAGCCCCGGCUAACUACGUGCUAGCAGCCGCGGGAAUACGGAGGGGGCACGCGUUAUCCGGAUUUACUGGGUGUAAAGGGAGCGCAGUCGGCAGCGCAAGUCUGGAGUGAAAGCCCGGGGCCCAACCCCGGAACUGCUCUGGAAACUGUGCGGCUAGAGUACUGGAGGAGCAGGCGGAAUUCCUGGUGUAGCGGUGAAAUGCGUAGAUAUUAGGAGGAACACCAGUGGCGAAGGCGGCCUGCUGGACAGUAACUGACGUUGAGGCUCGAAAGCGUGGGGAGCAAACAGGAUUAGAUACCCGUGUAGUC
rnacentral:rRNA from 1 species